GAUGAAGAACGUAGCGAAAUGCGAUAAGUAAUGUGAAUUGCAGAAUUCAGUGAAUCGUCGAAUCUUUGAACGCACAUUGCGCCCCUUGGUAUUCCGAGGGGCAUGCCUGUUCGAGCGUCAUUUCAACCCUCAAGCACAGCUUGGUCUUGGGCUUCGCCGCUAACCCGGCGGGUCUUAAAAUCAGUGGCGGUGCCGUCGGGCCCUGAGCGCAGUAAUCUCUCUCGCUAUAGGGUCCCGGCGGAUGCUGGCCAGUAACCCCCAAUUUUCUAUGGUUGACCUCGGAUCAGGUAGGGAUACCCGCUGAACUUAAGCAUAUCAAUAAGCGGAGGA
rnacentral:misc_RNA from 1 species